CUAAGCAUUUGAUAUAUAGACGGUAUUUGAUUCUACUGACUGAAAGCGAUUUCAGUGACUUGUGUUGAUUUUCAAUCAACUUCUAAUUGAUUUCAGCAUCGAGUGAUACCAUGACUUCAAGAGUGGGUAGCCCCUCGAUUUUUGUCAGCAAUGACGAAUAAUUGGGAGGACCCAGCGAUGGGCGGUUUUGAAUUAAUGGCAUCGGUAGAGGCGUGAAUAACCACUGGUUGAGUCACUCAUGGGUCACACCCAGGACCAACACACCCAAGGGGAAUAAUGCAGAGUUGAUCCUCUUCCUCGUGGCCUGAGUAUUCCACCGGAAGUCUACACUUGGAGGUCCCUAUGCCAUUCACAAAGAGCUUCGAUUGCUCGUGGUGCCUCUUCACUGGUUCGAGCAUGGAACCAAGGGAGGGAGGCAAAAAUGCGCCCACGAGCAUCAUCAACCAACAUUCUGCCCAUAUUUCAUUCUUUGAUUUUGGCGCACAAACGUAUCCUUUACUAAUGACGACUACAAGACUGAACCCCGAACAGAGAGAUCGUGGGCGACCUGGUCCUCUAAUACGCCGGCUGGGGUGAGGUCGAAAUAAAAAAUGGAAAGUUAAAUACGAAUAUACAAGGGACAGAAAAUACCUGCUGAGGGCGAGGGAGGUGGAGGAGGCGUGUCCAGAAGGCUGAGGCGCCACAAAUAAUUUCAAUAUUUAUAACUUAUUGUCUUGAAUUUAUUCGUAAGUAUCUCCAACGAGCUGAAAAUGUUAUUCCCAAUGGAUUUUUGUUACUUCUACCCCAGGAAGACGAAUUAAUUCCACCACCGAAAGGGACGACUUUCUUGUCUCACCGGUGAAGAUUUAUCAGCAGAUCGUAUUACAACGUCAAGGUCGACAAUUCCAGGAGAGCCUUAACCAGAGAACAUGUACAUACACAUACCUGGUGCAUGGUAUUCUCGAUUGCCGGAGGUACUGAGGGUUAUAAAUCAUAAUUAGGCUUCGACCAGUAGCCACUAAGUGCCAACCUAAACCCAUUAAAAUGGCAACAAUGCAAUUGAGAUGAGAAUUAUCGUUGCCCAGAUUUGGACAAUAGAUAGUCCGUAAAUCCAACGUGAGGAAAGGUGAUCACAAUCGAUAACAAGAUUUCAAGCGUGAUGUUACUGAGUUGAGGAGCGAUUAGUCGAGUCAUGGCUCCUCGCCCACGUGAGAUAAAGGCAAGAGCCAAGUGGUGAAUCCUGAAUAAGAUUCGUGACAGUGAAUAAACAAAAUAGUGACGAAGCAGAGUUCAGGGGCAUCAACAGCUUGAAUAAAUGGCUGAAAAUGACGAGGCUCCUGUGGACAUCGGUUAGCUGCAGCUGAUCAGUGAAUGCAACAAAUGUGAUUGUUAUUCUCCCGUCCUUUUCUAUAAACUGUCGAGACUGGAUAUUGACGAUAACAACGGUAGCCAGAAGAUUCACAGUCAUUAUUGAUAAUUGCAGUUUGGUUUGGGGAAAUGCAAUUAGACGGACGAAAGAUUGGAAGACCGGCUGAUUGAGAGGCGCCCCUGGAGUUUACCUAUGAUGAUAUUAAAGAUUUUUCAAUUCAGUUGGAAGGAACUGCGAGGAACUGUUGAAUUUAGUUUGUAUAUUCCUCUGUCAUAAGGAUUUCUCCAGGGCCAAUCAGCCUUUAUUACCGGUAGCCAGUCUAGUAAUCAUCAUAAUGAUGGAUAAUGUCCGGUGGAUAAUGUUACGUUAACAGUAGCUGUGUAUUUAACUCUUUGAUUUUUUUCUGUAAUUAUAUACAUUCAUUGAUUAUCGAAUGCAUUGGGAAUAUCGGAACUGUUCUACUUGGAAGUUUCUUUCUAUUAUUGAAGCGUGAAAUUGACGAUUCGAGUCGUGAUAAAGACCGGAUAAUCGUUCAUUUACCGCCGGCGUCAUCGAUUGAUUUCAUACGCUUCGUUUCUUCAGGCCUUGAAAAAAAUCAACCCACAUAAAAAAAUAAAAUAAACUACGUUUUGACAGACGUUUGACGAUAUUUUGAUAUCUGAUAAUAUUUUUUCAACCCUAAGGUCGAUUAAUUUGUUUUUUACCGUCGAUGUAUCGCUACAUAAUUGAGAAUCGAUCAAUUUAUGAAGGCAAUUGACUGAGUGAUUCUUUUAUAAUUCGUAAGUCUCAUGCGAAGGAAUACAAACAAUAAUGUAAUAAUAUUUUGAGAGAAGACCAGUAAUUUGAUAAAAAAAAUUCUUAGUAAAUUGUUGUUAUGUAAUUGUAAUUGACAGGGGUGCAUUCGUAAUGUCCGUUGACCGCCAUUUAUGGUUGUGAAAUGAUGAACUACUUUUAAAUCAUAAUUUCGGAUGAUUUUGAGCGUAAUGUCCACUUCAACUCCAAUCGUAAAAUACGACUCAAUAAACGCAACAUACAUUUAGCUUUUUCUGGGCCCAUUGAGCAAUCGAUGAUCCAAAAUUAUGGUUUGUCAAUGGAGAAAACUCGGUAUGAAUAAAAGAAUGGUAAUGAGAGGGGAAGAAAAAUCCAAACUGCGCAUCGAAAUUCAUUGAUUGCAGACAAGCCAAGAGGGCUUCGUCGAUUUCCA